rnacentral:rRNA from 1 species
UCCUAGGCCGCACGCGCGCUACAAUGACGGUGCCAGAAAGGGAUUGGCUGGUCCUAGACCGGCUGAUCGAAGUAGAAGUGUGGAGAGAAUCUUGGAAGCGCCGUCGUGAUGGGGCUCGAUCUUUGUAAUUAUAGGUCGUCAACGAGGAAUUCCUAGUAGGCGCAGUUCAUCAGACUGUGCCGAUUACGUCCCUGCCUUUU